rnacentral:rRNA from 1 species
GACAGAGGAUGCAAGCGUUAUCCGGAAUGAUUGGGCGUAAAGCGUCUGUAGGUGGCUUUUUAAGUCCGCCGUCAAAUCCCAGGGCUCAACCCUGGACAGGCGGUGGAAACUAGCAAGCUUGAGUACGGUAGGGGCAAAGGGAAUUCCCGGUGUAGCGGUGAAAAUGCGUAGAUAUCGGGAAGAACACCAAAGGCGAAAGCACUUUGCUGGGCCGAAACUGACACUGAGGGACGAAAGCUAGGGGAGCGAAAGGG